GGCGCGCUACCUACCCCAUCCCACGCCUUAGUACCCGCUGUGCCGAUACAUUCAGAAAGGUAGAUAGGAUGAACAGAUCGUACCCCAAAGGGCUCUGAGUUCAGCUUGAGAGACUCAGAAACUGAAUUGGGAAAGACGCUUGAGACAUGAAAUCCCUUGCUACUCUGGAGCUGUACACAAUCCUGACAGAGGAGCCUUUUACAGAAGGCAAAGAAAUGCUUCCCUGGUUUGAUAAACUUUCACCACCCGCUGCAAGUCCUCAAGCUGCUGCGCAGACGCGCAUGGCCUCACCAUCUGCCUUUCUAGGAUUGAUUUACACAGCACACUCUUGAGUGGACCAACAAUGGCUGUCCUGGUCGCUGGGCAGCGCUGGAGACUAUAUGCCUCACUAAUCCAAGUUUUAAGGAUUCCUGGAGAACUAGUCUUUAGUCCGUGGGAAGAAUCUGGAUUCUGAUUUCAGUGAAAGAUGCCAGGGGCAGGAAUAUCAACAACGACAGAAACACUAGGCAACUCUCCAGCACGCGAAAAGGCAAGCAAGCUGAAUGCAAAUCCCUGGGACUCCCUUAUGUUUGGGCCAAUAUCUGGACUGCCCAAGUUCAGGAUGAGUCUAUCAAUUGGCCUAGUCAAGAGAAUCCUUCACAAGUAUGCCUAGUGGCAUCUCUCGGUGAUUCUAGACCUUGUCAGUUCAGUCAGUGACAGUAUUAUCAUCACUGUCACUGGGACCUCCCUUCAGAUAAAGUCAGAUCCUUGACUAUACAUCAUCAUCAACAACAGCAACAGCCAAACAACACUACACAAAAAAAGGAGUAAAACAAAGUGGGUUUAUUAAGUAAAGAUACAGGAUAAUACUUUUGGUCUAAGCUUGGGGGAGGGAGGUUUUAUAAGACAGUGAUCAAAAUAAAUCAAAAUAAAUGAUCAAAAUAAAUGUCACUGCUUAGUUC